AAUUUCAAGGUUUAUCGGGGACAAGAGAAGUUUGAUUGGUAAUACGUCUUGGGUAAGUUUUCUCCGUAUUCCCUAUUCUCUAGAAUUUGUCGCUGUACUUUAAUUUUCUCUUUUAUGUGUGGUUGUUAUAUGUCGAAUGUAUGUGUGUAGUAGGAAAAUUAAUUUUCAAUAUAUCGAUUUCUUUGUUUUCUUCUAAUGUUGAUGUUCUGUUGUCUAUUUUAAUUCCAUUGAACGACAUUGUUCAUUCAGAGGUAAUUUUCUUCUUCUUGUUUUUUACAUUUGAUCUCUACUCCUUUCACUACCAUCUUUAAACGUAAGGAUGGAAUUUUUCAGGUUUCCCGGGGACAAGAGAAGAUUCGUCGGAGAUACCUCUGUAGUAUGCUUAUUUCGUAUUCCCAAUUAUCCUCCAUUUCGUACACUUCUUCAUUCUUUUGUAUUAUCUUUGGGUGUUGUUUGUUGACUGCAAAUAUGUAUUAGAGAAUUAAUUUUGAAUCCUUUGAUUUAUUUGUUGGUUUCUGAGCUUCAUGUUGCGUUUUGUAAUACUGAUUUCUUUCGUUUCGUUUCAGAAUAAAAUUAUUUGCUUUAAAUGAAAUUGUGCCAUCAAUUGUAAUCUUCUGAUUCUCGUUCUUACAUUUGAUGUCUGCUCUUUUCUAUACCUUCUAUAGGCGUAAGAGUGGAAUUUCAAGGUUUAUCGGGGACAAGAGAAGUUUGAUUGGUAAUACGUCUUGGGUAAGUUUUCUCCGUAUUCCCUAUUCUCUAGAAUUUAUCGCUGUACUUUAAUUUUCUCUUUUAUGUGUGGGUGUUAUAUGUCGAAUGUAUGUGUGUAGUAGGAAAAUUAAUUUUCAAUAUAUUGAUUUCUUUGUUUUCUUCUAAUGUUGAUGUUCUGUUAUCUAUUUUAAUUCCAUUGAACGACAUUGUUCAUUGAGAGGUAAUUUUCUUCUUCUUGUUUUUUACAUUUGAUCUCUACUCCUUUCACUACCAUUUUUAAAAACAAGGGUGGAAUUUUUCAGGUUUCCUUGGGACAAGAGAAGAUUCGUCGGAUAUACCUCUGUAGUAUGUUUAUUUCGUAUUGCCUAUUAUCAUCUAUUUCGCACACUUCUUCAUUCUUGUGUAUUAUCUUUGGGUGUUGUUUGUUGACUGCAAAUAUGUAUUAGAGAAUUAAUUUUGAAUCCUUUGAUUUAUUUGUUUGUUUCUGAGCUUCAUGUUGCGUUUUGUAAUACUGAUUUCUUUCGUUUCAAUUCAGAAUAAUAUUAUUUGCUUUUAAUGAAAUUGUGCCAUCAGUUGUAAUUUUCUUAUUCUCGUUCUUACAUUUGAUGUCUGCUCUUUUCUCUACCUUUUAUAGGCGUAACAGUGGAAUUUCAAUGUUUAUCGGGGACAAGAGAAGUUUGAUUGGAAA
rnacentral:lncRNA from 1 species